rnacentral:sRNA from 1 species
CUUGGUCAUUUAGAGGAAGUAAAAGUCGUAACAAGGUUUCCGUAGGUGAACCUGCGGAAGGAUCAUUAGUGAAUUAAACAUGCUUGGUGUCUUCGCUUCGGCAAGGCCCUUGCUUAACUCACAUCCCAACACCUGUGAACUGUAAGGCGCAUGACUAGGUUCGCCCAAGUCAUCGUCUGCCCUUUUUAACAAACAAUUAAUGUAACAAACGUAGUCUUAUUAUAACCUAAUAAAACUUUCAACAACGGAUCUCUUGGCUCUCGCAUCGAUGAAGAACGCAGCGAAAUGCGAUAAGUAAUGUGAAUUGCAGAAUUCAGUGAAUCAUCGAAUCUUUGAACGCACCUUGCGCUCUUUGGUAUUCCGAAGAGCAUGCCUGUUUGAGUGUCAUGAAAAUAUCAACCUUGACUUGGGUUUUGUGCUCUAGUCUCGGCUUGGAAUUGGGUGCUUGCCGCUUUUACGAGCGGCUCACCUUAAAUGUAUUAGCUGGAUCUGUCUUUGAGACUUGGUUUGACUUGGCGUAAUAAGUAUUUCGCUAAGGACAUUCUUCGGAGUGGCCUCGUUUCUAGGACGCUUGUCCGCUUUCCAAUACAAGUUCCACCUUGUGGACAUGACUUUUUAUUAUCUGGCCUCAAAUCAGGUAGGACUACCCGCUGAACUUAAGCAUAUCAAUAAGCGGAGGAAAAGAAACUAACAAGGAUUCCCCUAGUAACGGCGAGUGAAGCGGGAAAAGCUCAAAUUUGAAAUCUGGCAGCCUCAGGUUGCCCGAGUUGUAAUCUAUAGAAACGUUUUCCGCGCCGGCCCAUGUACAAGUCCCUUGGAACAGGGCGUCAUAGAGGGUGAGAAUCCCGUCCUUGACACGGACCACCGGUGCUUUGUGAUACGUUUUCAACGAGUCGAGUUGUUUGGGAAU